rnacentral:rRNA from 1 species
CAGCCGCCGCGGUAAUACGAAGGGGGCUAGCGUUGUUCGGAAUUACUGGGCGUAAAGGGCGCGUAGGCGGCCAUUCAAGUUAGAUGUGAAAGCCCUGGGCUCGACCUAGGAAUUGCAUUUGAUACUGUUUGGCUUGAGUUCGGGAGAGGUGAGUGGAAUUCCCAGUGUAGAGGUGAAAUUCGUAGAUAUUGGGAAGAACACCGGUGGCGAAGGCGGCGACCUGGUCCUUGACUGACGCUGAGGCGCGAAAGCGUGGGGAGCAAACAGGAUUAGAUACCCCUGUAGUCCCUGUCUCUUAUAC